rnacentral:lncRNA from 10 species
CCCAUGCCCCCUUUGCUGUGAGUCCAAGGCCAUGGCCAUGCAGGGAGGCCUCUGGGACCUUCUGCACUCAGGAAGGAGCCCAACUUUCCUCUCCCUCCCUUCACUCAGAGGCCUCGAAGGCUGGAGGGAUUGUGGGAUUCUGGCACCACCUAGCGUCUGGCUUCCUCAUCUGGGCCUGCAAGCUUUUGAGGGAGGAGAGGGGAGAACUGGCAGGAGAACCAAGCUACAGGACCAGGAAAUGAACAGGGUGUGUUUGGGGGCCAGAGGCAGGAUAGACCUCACUCCACUUGGGAAUUAAGCUCUUUGUCUUAAUCCACUGCCCCCAGUCCCUGAUAACCACCAACUCUCCUAGAAACACAGAAGGCUUGAGCAGGGAAGGGUCCUUAGAGAGCAAAACAGACCGUCUUCAAUUUACAGAAGGGGAAACCGAGGCUCUAAGAGAGGCCGUGGCUUAUCCAGAGUGACAUGGCCAGCCUGAGUCGGAGCCAGAGGUAAACUGCAGGUCUCUGGCUCCCCUUCCAGAGCUCUUCCCACCACACGAACAUCCAAAGGACGGGAAGCGGUUGGUGGGGCAGGGAGGUGGACUACCCACUGACUGCCUGUGGGUUUGGAGAGUGAAGGGGAAACAGAGAAGGCCUGGGGUUGUGGGGAGAAACUCCAGAGGAGACCAGGAGCCAGGCAGGGGAAGGCCAGGUGACUUACAACUCAGCACCAAGUCCUUGUGACACCCCACUCCAAAUGUGGACUCAUUGGUGUAGGCCAAACCCUUAAAUGGAAUUCAGUUUUCUUUGCAGGAGAUAGAGGCACACACUUGAGCUCUCCCUCGAGGGUGGGAGAAAUGAACUUGAAUGGGGCAGGUCUAGCCAGGGGGGCUUUCAGGAGGAGGGAGGCUCCCAAAGCCUCUUGGAUGCAGCAGCAAGGCAAACAGGAAGAGGGGGUAUUCAGACCUGUGGCCCACCCCAGGAGAAGUAAGAGCACUGGAGAAGAAUCACGUUUCUAGAAUGUUCUAGAAUGUUCCAUACAGAGGACAAUCCAGCCUGCCACCCUCAGAGGGAAAUUCCACCUGCUCUGGAUGAGUCACUUCCCUUCGCUGACCCUGCCUCAAGGCCUCCCUCCUUGUGAAAUGUGAGGCUUUAUCAGGUCUGAACCUGAGGGGCUUUUCAAACCACCACGUACCCAGAUUUCCCCAGCCCGGUUGAAUAUGAGGUUUGGGGGGUGGCCUCUGCAGGCGGAGGCUUAACGAGCCCCAUGGCCCCAGGUGGUGUUCAGAGGCCUGGGACCUGCUUCCUAACCAGGACUCUUGUGAACAUUUCCCUUCUCUCUCCAGAAAGGUCACAUGGGCUGGCAGUUACUGAACUUUCACUUCACUUUGGGAUUUUCCACAAUUCAGACCUGCAUUGAGUCACAAAGAUCUACCAAGCCUAGGAAAUUAUUGGGUGAAUUACUCUUAAUCAGACAACUCCGACCAUGACAGUCUUCGUCUGAGGCCGCAAUUCCCUUUCUGACCACCAGAGGGAGCACGUGGCUUGCGCCGAAUCCCCUCCAGCUGUGUGUUUUCAACUCAAUCUUUCCAAGGGCCUUUGCCGGGAGGAGGGGCUCCUGGCUCCUGAAUGGUCCGCCCGGUGCCGUGAUUUCCUAGGAAAGCCCUCAGCUCUUCUCAUUCCGCUUGUUCACCCCCCAGUUUCCAUACCUUCCACCCCACUGCUCCCCAGAGAGAAAUGUGACAAUGAGCUUCAGCUCUGUCGAAUCCGGACUACAUGGAACCUCUCUGGGUUGGCUUCUCAACCGAUUUCAGAGUUGUGAGCUGAGAAAGAACAGCAGGAGAGAGGCCACAGUUAUUCAGGGGACUCCUGCCUUGCUGGGGGCUUCCGCAGCCCCUGACCAACCAUCCUGGUGUCACUGCUGAGACAGCAGCCUGAACAAGGGCAAUGGGACCCCAGAGACUGCAUCUGUACAGGCGGAGCCCCAGGGCUUUAGACCCUUUGCUCCAGUGAUCUUAGAGCCAUAAUAUUAUCAUCCAAAAUGAUGAGAGAGUAAGUGGCAAGCAUACCUAGACAUCUUCUGAGCCCAGCAGACAGAAUUUUGGUUUAAGGAGAACCUGGGUAGUAUAAUGACACAUAAUAUUUUUUUAUAUAUAGGCAUCACAGUCUAUGAAUUGUACUGAUUCAUCUCAUCUCAAGAAGAUGGUAUUUUAGAUGUAUGUGUAUAUAUUUGAAGCCAAAACUGUUUAUUUUGUGUAAUUUUUUGUGCCUAUUAGUUUCUGAAUAUCUGUGCAUAAAAGCUUCUGUUUCUCUGCCUGCACACAUUUGUGGGUACACACUAUACACCUAUGUGGGGUAGGAGGGGGGAAUGGGCAUAUUUGUUUGCAUUUACCUUGUGUUUGGUCCUAGGAAGGGAUCUUGGUGAUCAUUCCAGCCCAGCUCUUUCACCUCAAUGGUGAAGAAACUGAGGUCCAGAAAGGCAAGGUGACUUGUCACAGGUAACACAGCUGGCUAUGGAGACAGAGGUGACACAAGAACCUAGGAUUUCUGAUUUGUAGAUGAGAACUCUUUCUAUAAUAUUAAAAUCAAUUAUAAAUUUUGGGGAGGGAAGCAGGGAGAUCCUUGUUUUUUCCUCCCCCAACUGAUAAGUAAGUACUAAGAAGGUCAAUCUUGAAUUAGCUAUAUAAUACCAAAAGUUAAGUUUUUCACACAGACCUGGUUCAGUAUUGAUUCCUUUUAUGAAAACCCUGUUUAUACUCAAGUUGUCAAAGAAUUCCAGAGGGCAUAUGAAGCCAUUGUUAAAAUAAUUUUAUGCCUUUGUUUUUGAAGAAAAGUAUCCAAAAUAUAUAAGCUUAUUGUUUGAGUUAAACAAUAAAAACAUCUGCUGUUUC